rnacentral:rRNA from 1 species
UACAGGGGGGGCAAGCGUUGUUCGGAAUUACUGGGCGUAAAGGGCCAGUAGGCGGCCAACUAAGUCACACGUGAAAUCCCAGGCUUAACCUGGGAACUGCGUGUGAUACUGGAUGGCUUGAAUUCGGGAGAGGGAUGCAGAAUUCCAGGUGUAGCGGUGAAAUGCGUAGAUAUCUGGAGGAAUACCGGUGGCGAAGGCGGCAUCCUGGACCGACAUUGACGCUGAACGGCGAAAGCUAGGGGAGCAAACGGG